rnacentral:rRNA from 1 species
GAUGAACGCUGGCGGCGUGCUUAACACAUGCAAGUCGAACGAAGCACUCUAUUUGAUUUUCUUCGGAAAUGAAGAUUUUGUGACUGAGUGGCGGACGGGUGAGUAACGCGUGGGUAACCUGCCUCAUACAGGGGGAUAACAGUUGGAAACGACUGCUAAUACCGCAUAAGCGCACAGGAUCGCAUGAUCCGGUGUGAAAAACUCCGGUGGUAUGAGAUGGACCCGCGUCUGAUUAGCCAGUUGGCAGGGUAACGGCCUACCAAAGCGACGAUCAGUAGCCGACCUGAGAGGGUGACCGGCCACAUUGGGACUGAGACACGGCCCAAACUCCUACGGGAGGCAGCAGUGGGGAAUAUUGCACAAUGGGGGAAACCCUGAUGCAGCGACGCCGCGUGAGCGAAGAAGUAUUUCGGUAUGUAAAGCUCUAUCAGCAGGGAAGAAGAAUGACGGU